AACAGACUAAACCAGCAGAGGGAGGAACAGACUAAACCAGCAGAGGGAGGAACAGACUAAACCAGCAGAGGGAGGAACAGACUAAACCAACAGAGGGAGGAACAGACUAAACCAGCAGAGGGAGGAACAGACUAAACCAACAGAGGGAGGAGCGGACUAAACCAACAGAGGGAGGAACGGACUAAACCAACAGAGGGAGGAACGGACUAAACCAACAGAGGUAGGAACAGACUAAACCAGCAGAGGGAGGAACAGACUAAUCCAACAGAGGGAGGAACAGACUAAAGAGCAGAUGGAGGAAAAGACUAAACCAACAGAUGGAGGAACAGACUAAUCCAACAGAUGGAGGAACAGACUAAUCCAACAGAUGGAGGAACAGACUAAACCAGCAGAUGGAGGAACAGACUAAACCAGCAGAUGGAGGAACAGACUAAACCAGCAGAGGGAGGAACAGACUAAUCCAACAGAGUUAGGAACAGACUAAUCCAACAGAGUUAGGAACAGACUAAUCCAACAGAGUUAGGAACAGACUAAACCAACAGAGUUAGGAACAGACUAAACCAGCAGGGGGAGGAACAGAUUAAUCCAACAAAGUUAGGAACAGACUAAACCAACAGAUGGAGGAACAGACUAAACCAGCAGAGGGAGGAACAGACUAAUCCAACAGAGUUAGGAACAGACUAAACCAACAGAGGGAGGAACAGACUAAACCAACAGACAUAGGAACAGACUAAACCAGCAGAGGGAGGAACAGAUUAAUCCAACAAAGUUAGGAACAGACUAAUCCAACAGAGUUAGGAACAGACUAAUCC
ensembl:lncRNA